rnacentral:rRNA from 1 species
AUUGAACGCUGGCGGCAUGCCUUACACAUGCAAGUCGAACGGCAGCACGGGGCAACCUGGUGGCGAGUGGCGAACGGGUGAGUAAUGCAUCGGAACGUGCCAUUGAGUGGGGGAUAACGUAGCGAAAGUUGCGCUAAUACCGCAUAUUCUGUGAGCAGGAAAGCAGGGGGACCGCAAGGCCUUGCGCUCUUUGAGCGGCCGAUGUCAGAUUAGCUAGUUGGUGAGGUAAAGGCUUACCAAGGCGACGAUCUGUAGCGGGUCUGGGAGGAUGAUCCGCCACACUGGAACUGAGACACGGUCCAGACUCCUACGGGAGGCAGCAGUGGGGAAUUUUGGACAAUGGGCGCAAGCCUGAUCCAGCCAUGCCGCGUGAGUGAAGAAGGCCUUCGGGUUG